CUGCGGAUGGUGGCUUGGCAGAUAAUUUUGAUGAUCCUAACUUUGGUGAGGUGGAGGUUGAUAAUGACAAUGAAGAGGAUCAUUAUGGGGAUAUAGUGAGUUCUGAUGGAGAAGAUGAAGGUGGACAAGAACAAGCUAAACCAGGUGGGCCUGAAUGUAAUGCAACUCACCAGUUUAAUGGACCUCA